UGAAAACUACACAAAACAAGGCUUGGCUAAUGUAUAUGAAGACAGCAUGAAAAACAAUACAGAAAGUGGUGGUUGGAGUGGUGAUCUCAUCUUUGCUGCUGGCGCUCACUGGUGCAAUGGCCCCAGGGACAAGACUUGCUUCCUUGAUAUCAGUCUUCUCCAAAUUUAUUGUAUCCCAGUUUGGUGAC